rnacentral:rRNA from 1 species
CUACGGGGUGCAGCAGUGAGGAAUAUUGCACAAUGGGGGGAACCCUGAUGCAGCAACGCCGCGUGGAGGAUGACGCAUUUCGGUGUGUAAACUCCUUUUAUAUGUCAAGAAAAUGACGGUAGCAUAUGAAUAAGCACCGGCUAACUCCGUGCCAGCAGCCGCGGUAAUAGCGGAGGGUGCAAGCGUUACUCGGAAUCACUGGGCGUAAAGGACGCGUAGGCGGGUUGGAAAGUCAGGUGUGAAAUCCUACAGCUUAACUGUAGAACUGCACUUGAAACUUCUAAUCUAGAGUAUGGGAGGGAGAGAUGGAAUUAGUGGUGUAGGGGUAAAAUCCGUAGAUAUCACUAGGAAUACCUAAAGCGAAGGCGAUCUCCUGGAACAUUACUGACGCUAAGGCGUGAAAGCGUGGGGAGCAAACAGGAUUAGAUACCCCGUAGUC